CGGCGGCGGCCUCCCCACUCGCGUACCCCCUCACGGCGCCUCGGGCCAGUCUUCCUCUUUCCGGUUCUGCCGCAGCCGCCCGGGACCUGGCGAGUGGCGGUGUGGAGGCCUCCGAGCGAGGCGGGCCUCCCGCGCUCCCGGGACGCCGGCGCCCUGCAUCCUUCGCACAGGCCCGCGAGGCCGGAGCGGAGCUUUGCCCAGGGCGGGGAGGGCCGGAGGACCCCGGCUGCACGGACCGGGAGCUUCUCGGGUCCCUGGAGCCCGGCUGCGUGCCUCCCCCAGAUGGACGGAGAAACGGGUGAAUUUCUCUCCGAGCAACAUACGCAGAGUGUGACUUGUGUGAUGUGCUGAGGACUGACCUUCCCUGCUUCACUCCUGGGAGGUGAUAGCAUGAAAACCCCUCACCCCCAAGGUUCUACACAGGCCCUUGCAGGAAGAAUCACUGAAUGGCUGACAUUUGACAACAUGCACCACCAGUGGCUUCUGUUGGCUGCAUGCUUCUGGGUGAUUUUCAUGUUCAUGGUGGCUAGCAAGUUCAUCACAUUGACCUUUAAAGACCCUGACGCAUACAGCACCAAACAGGAGUUUUUAUUCCUGACGGCCAUGCCAGACCCGGGAAAGCUGCCCAGGGAGAAACAGUUUCCUGAGGAACUGAAGCCAACUGGGAAAAUGCUUUCAGACAGCCGGCUUGUCCAACCUCUGGUCUACAUGGAGCGCCUAGAACUCAUCAGAAAUGUCUGCAGGGAUGAAGCCCUUAAGAAUCUUUUACACACGGCAAUCUCCAAGUUUGUCCUAGACCGAAUAUUUGUGUGUGACAAGCACAAGAUUCUUUUCUGCCAGACUCCCAAAGUGGGUAACACACAGUGGAAGAAAGUGCUGAUCGUAUUAAAUGGAGCAUUUCCUUCCAUUGAAGAGAUCCCUGAAAAUGUGGUUCACGACCAUGAGAAGAAUGGCCUCCCUCGGCUCUCUUCCUUCAGUGAUGCAGAAAUUCAGAAGCGCUUGAAAACAUACUUCAAGUUUUUUAUCGUAAGAGAUCCCUUCGAAAGACUGAUUUCUGCAUUUAAAGACAAGUUUGUUCAUAAUCCUCGCUUUGAACCUUGGUACAGGCAUGAGAUUGCUCCUGGCAUCAUCAAAAAAUACAGAAGGAAUCGGACAGAGACCAGGGGCAUCCAGUUUGAAGACUUCGUGCGUUAUUUGGGUGACCCUAACCAUAGAUGGCUGGAUCUUCAGUUUGGGGACCACAUUAUUCACUGGGUGACAUAUGUAGAACUGUGCGCACCUUGUGAGAUAAAGUACAGUGUGAUCGGCCACCAUGAGACGCUGGAGGAUGACGCCCCAUACAUCUUAAAAGAAGCCGGCAUAGACCACCUGGUCUCCUACCCAGCCAUUCCUCCCGGCAUUACAGUGUAUAAUAGAACCAAGGUGGAGAACUACUUCCUGGGCAUCAGCAAGCGAGACAUCCGGCGUCUGUAUGCACGUUUUGAAGGGGACUUUAAACUCUUUGGGUAUCACAAGCCAGAUUUUUUGCUGAACUAAUGCAUAGGGCUGUGCAUUCAAAUAUCUUGGCUAGACCAGAUAUCAGCCGGGUGAAUCUGACCACAGAAAUGACACUUCCUCCAUCACACGCCUUCUGAAGACUCUGGCAGUAUACCAGAGACCUGUGCGUGAUUGAACCCAUGAAGCUGGACCCUGACUGUUAAAAUUAAGUUUGGACAUAGGUGCUCGGAAGGCCCUCACUCCUCACACCUACCUGUUCCACUUGGACUUUGCUCUCCUCAGAAGGGGAUAAAGACUACACAUUUGCAGUCUAGCAGAGCAGGAGGGAAAAUUACAUGGCAUUAGGAGUCAUUUUCCUCAUUUGUCACAGAGGUGGACACACCCGCAGUGCUGCAGAUGGGGGCCCUGUUGUCACUGGUGGGUUGCAGGAAUAGCACCAAGCACUUUCAGGAGAGAUGGAGAGGCUAAUGGCCUGCAAAACGACAGAGGCUAAUACGAGAUAGAAUCUGAGUAAUAAAAUACCCCUGGUUUUUGUCUUGUCGCUGCUAUGAUCACAGAGGCAAACUAUUCAAGGACUGUUUUGUUCCUGUGACCUGUGAGAUUCAGGGAGGACCCAAGGGCACUUUGCCAUGAUCCAUCUUUGCAGAAUAAUGCUUGAUACUGCUAUUCAUAGUCCUGAACAUCUCUUUGCCAAGUAGUAAUAGCAUUCAGACCAAAAGAUUCAAUUUUGGAAAGCGAGGGGUGCGUAUGUUUUUUCCAUCUGAGAAAGGGAACAACUUUGUAAGCCUUAAAAAAGGAUGUGUAGGAAAAGGAAGAACUGGGUGGGUUCUGGAGUCCAGGCUGCUGUGGGUUUGGACACAUCCAUCUUUUCUUUGACUCUCCUGCUGGAUGGGUACCACGGAUUCUCUCCCUGUCUUCUUCAGGGUACUCCCCUAGGCUGAAGGCAAAUAUAGGCAUCAUGCCAGCAUUGCAGAAUUAGUGCAGUUUACAUCCUUCAGCUUCCUUUUUCAGCGAAGUGCUUACCACUGGACCCAUUUCUGAUAAUGCCAUAAUCCUGGACUAAAUGGCUCUAAGUUGGAAAAUCAAGUUCACCAGCAAUAAAAUCCCAGGCCGAGGCAUUCUCCAGCAACAUCUUCCAGGCGGUGACGAGCAGAAAAUGUGACCAUGUCAGCUGCCUGGCAAGGAAGACUCGAGAUACUGGACAGUUUCCCUUGAAAAGUCCCAAGUACCCAACUCUGCACAGUGCCUGUGAACCCAGCUUUCCCAGGCAGCCUCCGCCUUCCCUUUCUCAAAAGGUUUCCUGAAUUUUGUAAAUGUAAAAGUAAAAUAAAAUUCAAAAUACGUGCCAAACCUGACACGUACUGCAGUCCCAGGGGAAGGUGCGUAGGGACCACACGUGUUUUCUGAGGCCCGGUGACAGUGCUGGGCAGCACAGGCCCGCUGGGUUGGCUGCUGGUGACAGACUGUGGGAGGAAGCCAGACUGCUGCCAGCCACAGUGUUGAUGAAGGGAAAGUCUGUGGUACCCUUUAUCUCCACUGACACGCAGAGGAUAUGACACUGGAGUUAUUCUUCUAUGACAUUUCAGCAAAGUUGUUAAAAUUGCUUCACUUCUGAUGAGUUGAUUGUCUCUUUCCUGUUGGAAAUGUACCUGUGUGUGUGAACAACCCCCAGCAUUUCAAUUUAGGCAAUUUUCCUCUGGCAUUUGGGCAUUUUCCUAACAUUUUGCCAAACAAGUAGAGAUUGCCACCAGAACAUCUCUGGGACUUCUCUCAGUGUGCAGUAGGACUCCCCAUCACCACCCUACCCACUGCUUCUGAGUCACACCUGGCCCCUGGCUAGCUCCCAUCCUCCACUGAGGUCUUCUAAUUGCCUUCCAAGCCUGAGGAGUGGGUGCCCAUUCUCUGCUUCCUGAAGCCGUUUAGCCCCACCCUCUUUAUACCUGCACUCCUAAGCUAUCUUAGCUGUGUUUUGGGUAAGGAGGUGGAUGGACAGGACAGGGGCAGGAUUCAAGGACAAGGGGAAGGCGUUGGAAUGGAAAGCUGCCCCUGGGGUGGGGGUCAGGGCUGGGCCCCGGGCACUACCAUGGAAGAGCCUCUUAACAGAGAGGGUUUCCAGAGGGUUACUUGGGUACAGUGACCCCUGCCAGCCACCCAUUCCCACCCUAAACACCAGCAUGACCUGUUCAAAUGGAAUCUCCAAAGCAGAGAACAGUGGAAAUCUGGAUUUGAAGGGGGAAGUGAGAUUGCAGCUACUUGAAAAGAAGGCACCUACUUAAUGAAAGUCAAGUCAGCCAGCACACCUUUUCCAAGCCCCUGCGACGUGGAAAGUACUGCACCAGAAUGGAGAGAUUCUAGAACUGAGCAGGACAGCAGGCUCACAGGCAAGGCACAGCAUGAGAAGUGCUGGAACACAGGUCACAGUUAAAAGGUGCCAGUGCCACUCAGUAUUUCACCACAGCAUGGCAUGAAUUGCAGUCUUUUCAGCUUACCAUAUCUAUUUUGUUUUGCCAUCCCAUCCCUAACCACUAAACUCAAAAAUCAAAAGGAAAUGCUUGAAAUUUACAGCAAAGUGACAAAGUAAGAAUUCUUUUGAUGGGCAUAUCAGUGACUGGGCACUGAAUAUGAGGCAGGAUAUUAUUUGAUGGUCAACUUAAGUUAGUUGUGCGUAUAUAUUGCAAACUUGAGGGAACCUAAGAAGUCAAAUGGAUUCAUGUAAAAUGUUUCAGUCUAGAGAGAGCAAAGGAAACAGAAUAGCCACAAUGACUAGAAAGCAACAAUUCUAUUUUCCCAACUUUAUCAAUAGUAACUUUAAAUAUCGGUGGUCAAAAAACAAUAAAAGACAGCAGCCCCUCAUUCAGGAAGUCCAGUUCAGGGUGUGCCAGAGGUUAUGAUGCAAGUUAUAAUCACAGAUGGGAAUGGAGUCUAGAGUAUCCUGUCUGUCAAGUCAUUUCCUUAACCACUAUAUCAUUGUCCUUCUUGAAAGGAGGCUUUGUUAAAAGUACAGGUCACACGCUGAUUGUCUUACUGCGCUUCCAUGGGACUCAGAGGUCUUUUGUACCCAACCCAAAUAGGAACCUGUAGAGAUUUCUCCCAAGUUGCCAGUUGGUCUGAAGUUCAUGUGCAGGUUUCCACAUCAGUUGAGAUCUAUUGUUAUGCUCUUAUCUCCAUUCCACACACUUGUAUAUCUCUUAUGAGAGACAGGUCCUAAGGAUGGCAGAUUAUUUGACCUACUUGACAUAUUUUGAGUCUUGUAAGAUACCUUGUCACUUAAUUUUACUGAAGAUAUGUGAUGAUGUCAGCUAUUUUACCGUCCAUUGCUAGAAAGCGAUUGAAGGGAAAGUUAGAAAAUUAUGAUCUCAUCAUGAUUUUGCCCCAAUCAGAAACCCUCCCCUAUGUUUUUUCCCUAAACUAUAUUACUCCUCUACUUAGUCUUGAUUAGUUCUUGACUUUGCAGUUCAAGUGCUGAUCCUAGUUCUAGUAGUCAUGGUGUUUAUAUUGGAGACUACACAUGGCCUUUCUGAAUUUAAACUUGUUUUGCCCCUUAUUCUUAAUACUUCACUUACUAUGGAAACUGUGACACUGAUUAUCUUUUCUAAUCUAGCUACCCUACUUUCUCCAAGCCUCAUGGAAGAGAAUUCAGUCUUUAGAGAUGAUUCUUUCUAUAUGAGGGAACUUACACUUAAAUUAUGGGAAAUAGUCUAUGACCCAGUUUUGUUUUGUUUUGUUUUGUUUUUCAUAUCAACAUGGAUUAGUAAAUUAUCUGAUACACAACUGGUCUCUGGCUAGUUUCAUACUACUUCCUACUGAGUAUGAACAGAGCCACAGUAUCCUCAUGAACCCAGCGUGCAUGGCAGUCAUUUUCAGAAACUUUUGACCUCAUUGCUCUUUCUAAAACAUACUCAUUUCUGUUCUUGACAACACUUUUAUCUAAGUAUGCCAUAAUGCUGCCUUGAAUUUUGUUUGUGCUUCCCUGAGAUUUCUACAUCUUCUUCCCUUAUCUCAAAUAGAAGGAAAUUACCAGUAGUAUUUUAUCAUUUCUUCUUCCCUCCUUUAUGUGUGUUUAUGUGUAUGUGCUUGCACACACUCGCUACAUUUUACUUUGUCUUGCAAUCCUUGCAACUUUUCUCAUGAGAAUUGAACCCCAAAUUACCCUUAAACAA